UUGUUUGACAUUUUAUACAUUCUCUUUAGUUCAAAAUAAUGAUCUUUUAGAGUUAUCAAUUACUCUCCCCUAUUAAAUAUAUUUCCAUUUCUCUUCCCCAUAAGUUAAAAAUGACUUCUUAAUUUCUCUCCCCAUUUGUUAUCAAAUAAAAAUAUAAUCAAACAAGAAAAAUAAUUAGAUGCCAAAUUGAUUGUUAGCAUAAAU
rnacentral:lncRNA from 1 species